rnacentral:rRNA from 1 species
GACGAACCGUGCGAACGUUGUUCGGAUUCACUGGGCUUAAAGGGCGCGUAGCGGUCGCCAUAGUCGGGGGUGAAAUCUCGGAGCUUAACUCCGAAAACUGCAUUCGAUACUGCCGUGCUUGAGGACUGGAGAGGAGACUGGAAUUUACGGUGUAGCGGGUGAAAAUGCGUAGAUAUCGUAAGGAAGACCAGUGGCGAAGGCGGGUCUCUGGACAGUUCCUGACGCUGAGGCACGAAGGCCCAGGGGGAGCAAAACGGGGAUUAGAAAACCCCCAGUAG